GCAGACUAUUCUGAUCUUGCUCCUUGUAGCCGCCGUGGUGGUCUCUUCCUCGCAACUCCCCGGCUACCAUAGCGCACCAGAGACUCCGGCCAACUACGAGUUCCAGUACGCUGUGAGAGACGGCAACGACUACGGCCACCAUGAGACCCGCGACGGAGACUACACCCAAGGCUCCUACGCCGUGCAGCUCCCCGACGGUCGUAUACAGAGGGUCACCUACACAGUCGACGGUGAUUCUGGCUUCGUGGCUAAAGUUACCUACGAAGGCGAAGCUCAGUACCCAGCCUACGCUUAGGAAUGCUUACUCGACAUUGGUUUUGUUUAUUGGCCGAAGUGCCUUUUGAGUUAUAUCGUGUUAUGAAAACUGUUUCAGAUGUUCCUUUUUCCCUCAGGUCACAUACUUGUUAUUAUAUGGUAUAAAAGUAAUAUCAUUGAUA